UAAACACAGAAGUAGCUGAAAUUUAUUAAGUUCAGUCUCCCUUAAACUAGAACACAAAGGUCAUAAUUACAAAGUUAGAAGAAGGAAGGGAAACAACAUAUAAUUGCAAUUAGUAAUGAAAUCAAAGGAUCAAUUAGUUGUUCAUAUUUAUAUACCUUCUCCAAGUUGGGCAUAAGAUAGCUUAGUCCUUGCAAUUCUGCUGGAUAACUUGUAAAAGCUUCAAUUGCUAGAGAGAGAUUAAUUACAAUGAAACGCCUGAAUUAGAGGAGAAGACUCCGAAAAUAACACAAAAAGACAAUUAGUGAUUCAAUAAACUCCAAAUUAGUAGUUGAGGUCAACUAAAAUAACCGUGUUGAAUUUUGAUAUGAAGGAGAUUUGGAAAGAGAGAGAAGACGACUUUGAAGUGAAUUGGAAAAGACUAGGCUAUGCUGCUGCUGCUCGUCAUAUGCUCGAUAAAAGGCCUGAACGUCCAUUCUGCCAUAGAAACUGCAUAAGGUCAGCUUUCUACUUGGCAAAUUCAACAUUUCACUAGUAUUAUACUCUCUCUAUAUGUAAUUUUAAGCUUACACUUGAUCAUUCAAUAGUUGGAUAUGAUUUGACCAAUUACCAACAGUACUUAUUUAAACUUAGGCAUCAUGUACCAUAUUUGCUUGAAUCUUAUAUAUAAGUUUGUGUAA